rnacentral:rRNA from 1 species
GACGAACGCUGGCGGCGUGCUUAACACAUGCAAGUCGAACGGUAAGGCCCUUCGGGGUACACGAGUGGCGAACGGGUGAGUAACACGUGGGUGAUCUGCCCUGCACUUCGGGAUAAGCCUGGGAAACUGGGUCUAAUACCGGAUAGGACCACUGCCUGCAUGGGUGGUGGUGGAAAGCUUUUGCGGUGUGGGAUGGGCCCGCGGCCUAUCAGCUUGUUGGUGGGGUGAUGGCCUACCAAGGCGACGACGGGUAGACGGCCUGAGAGGGUGACCGGGCACACUGGGACUGAGAUACGGCCCAGACUCCUACGGGCGGCAGCAGUGGUGAAUAUUGCACAAUGGGGGCAAGCCUGAUGCAGCGACACCGCGUGAGGGAUGACGGCCUUCGGGUUGUAAACCUCUUUCAGCACCGAGGAAGCGCCAGUGACGGUAGGUGCAGAAGAAGGACCGGCCAACUACGUGCCAGCCGCCGCAGUAA